rnacentral:tRNA from 1 species
AUGGUUAAAGCUCACGGUCGAGCAUCUUAAUGUUAAUAAGAAGGUGGGUGUAAAAUAUAAAGCCUAACCAUG